CGUGUAGGCGGUUUGGUAAGUCAGAUGUAAAAGCCCCCGGCUUAACCGGGGAUGGUCAUUUGAAACUGCCGGGCUUGAGUUCGAGAGAGGGUAGCGGAAUUCCCAGUGUAGCGGUGAAAUGCGUAGAUAUUGGGAAGAACACCAGUAGCGAAGGCGGCUACCUGGCUCGUAACUGACGCUAAUGCGCGAAAGCGUGGGGAGCAAACA
rnacentral:rRNA from 1 species